CACCUCUCCAGGAGUGUAGAGAUAUGUUUGUAGAAGAUUAUAAUUUAGAAAUGCUUCCUCAUAAGGUACAGUAUUAUGAGCAUAGGAAGUUGGAGAUA